AACGAACGCUGGCGGCGUGCUUAACACAUGCAAGUCGAACGCGAAAGGGACUUGGUCCUGAGUAAAGUGGCGCACGGGUGAGUAACGCGUAGAUAACCUGUCUUCAUGGUCUGGGAAUAAUAACGGCCGAAAGGGGUACUAAUACCGGAUAUUCUUAGCUUUUCAUAAGUUAUGCAAGCAAAGGUGGCCUCUGCAUAUGCUACUGCAUGAAGAGGGGUCUGCGUACCAUUAGCUAGUAGGUGGGGUAAUGGCCUACCUAGGCGACGAUGGUUAGCGGGUCUGAGAGGAUGAUCCGCCACACUGGCACUGGAACACGGGCCAGACUCCUACGGGAGGCAGCAGUGAGGAAUAUUGCGCAAUGGGGAAACCCUGACGCAGCGACGCCGCGUGAGUGAGGAAAGGCCUUCGGGUCGUAAAGCUCUGUCAAGAGGAAAGAAGUGUACAAUGGCUAAUACCUGUUGUAUUUGACGGUACCUCUAAAGGAAGCACCGGCUAACUCCGUGCCAGCAGCAGC
rnacentral:rRNA from 1 species